ensembl:lncRNA
GGCAGAGAGACGCGGCGCCCCAUUGGCCGGACCGGUGCAGGUUAGGCUUACCUGAGCCCGCCUCCUGUUUACAUCCGUGCCAUUUCUGCCGCUACCCUGUUUCUUGAGGUGUUUAGGACUUAAAAAUACGGGUGGGCCUGUUCCGGACCUGUCCACCUACACACAGCAGGAGCAACAUUAAAAUGACGCCUUGGAUGGAUCAGCGGUCUCAAAGCUGCACGAUGAACUAAAACAUUUCCCUCAUCCACAUUUCAAGCAGGUAGUUGCAUUUAAUCAAGUUAAUUUAGUUAUUCAAUUAUUUGUUAUUGUUAUUGUUCCUUGCAACAGCAGCACCGAUAGUAUAUAGAAUGGCAGAAUGGCAAUGACACACACACACACACAUUAUUACUAGAUAAUACAUGCACAUGUACUGCAAUUACACGCAAAACAUGAUCAAGAAAUGUGGUGUUGUAUAGUAUCAACCCGACAACAUAGAACAUCCACUUAAUUAAAUAGAGGAUAUUGUGUGUGUGGGUUUGCGAGACAGAUGCUGCAGUGAUGUGAAAAACGAACAAUUGGUCGAGGUCGAGGGAGACCCCCUAGUUACCAACAUGGUACCAUCACUGCAUGAAUCAUCCAUUACCCAUGCUUCACUGCAGCACCGCGUUCGGACCGGGCGGCGCUGUCCGCUCGCCAUGUCUGAGCCCACUAAGUGACCUUGCUGUGGCCAGCGUGAGUCUGAUCCUCUUUAUGUGCUGCAGUUGCCAACAAGGUGACGGUUGUUUUCAGCGAAGGCCUACAAGAAGUCACACAGAGUCCUGCAGGCACAGCUGUCAAAUUUGAUACAGCCUUAGAUUUAAAUCUGCUUACAGGGAAAGCGUUCACGUGACCUUGCGCUUUCUUCCUUUCUCAAAUGAGAUUACAGGGCAGCUGAGAUAAGCCAAGGAGAAUUAUGAGAGCUCCUGUCAUUUCCAGAUGAGGAGGCACCGUGGUUCUCAGACUACUCAUGUUUUUAACGGUUUGAGGCAAAUAUCAAUGAACAGACCCACUUUUUUCUUGCAGCCAAUCGGGCACCAAAGAUGCUAAAUCUUAGCCUGACUUGUACUACAGUGACAAAACUCUCUUGUUAAGACUGUUAUCAGGGGGGAGAAAACAGUGGCCCUCAUUACGUAACCCACACCUUUAAACAGUCCAGUCACACACUGCACACACACACUCACACACGACGAUGGAAUAACAUUUUGGUAGGAAAGAAGGAGUUUACUGACACUGCCGAAUGUGGGUAUUAUAACCAGAAGAAUCCGGU